rnacentral:rRNA from 1 species
GGACUACCCGGGUAUCUAAUCCCGUUCGCUCCCCCAGCUUUCGCGCCUCAGCGUCAAGACAACCCCAGGAGACCGCCUUCGCCACUGGUGUUCCUACCGAUCUCUACGCAUUUCACCGCUACACCGGUAAUUCCAUCUCCCCCUAGUCGCUUCAAGAGAAGCAGUAUCCACCGACCCUCCGCAGUUGAGCUGCGGGCUUUCACAGCGGACUUGCUCCCCCGCCUACGCGCGCUUUACGCCCAGUAACUUCGGACAACGCUCGCCCCCUACGUAUUACCGCGGCGGCUGGCAC